rnacentral:lncRNA from 1 species
AUCAAUAUACCAGUCAAAAGCUCAAACCUCAAAGCAGGCCAAGGCGCAGCAGGAGGUGUCAAGUCAUAGGGCAGCACACUCCAGCGCACCACUACCUCGCAAACCAGAGGAGCAACCCAAACCUCUUUUCAGAAAACCCGUACAGGAAGAAAGCACGGGAGAUACAGAAGGAGGAGGCGAGGUUCCAAACUGGCUGGUGGGCAUGGAUGCCCUGCACAGAUCGCUAAUGGUAAAACCAGCACCUUUGAAAUUCAGGCUACCCAGGUUGCAGAUUUAUGAUGGGAAGAUGGACCCAGCAGAUCACAUAAAUAUGUUUCUGGGGGCAAUGCAAUGGGCCACAUCAAGGGAUGACAUCCUAUGUAGAGCAUUCCCAGGAACACUGAAAGGGCCUACAUAUAGGUGGUUCGUUGAACUACAGCCAGGGAGCAUAACAAGUUUCGAAGACUUGAAAAAGAAAUUCGUCGCCCAACACUGUGGAAACACAAGAGUAAGAAAGGGCACAGAAUCACUGUUUGCGAUCAAACAGAAUGGAGAUACGCUCCGGAAUUAUACAACUAAAUUCACGGAAGCCAUGCAGAAAAUCUCCGAUCUGAACACAACAAUCGCAAUAUGCGCAUACUCAAAAGGGCUAGACAUGAACACGCCAUUGGCAAUAAAGCUAAACGUCAGUAAUGUAAAAUGCAUGGAGGACCUGUUAACAAAGGCCCAGAAAUACAUAAAUUCUGAAGAGUAUGAAAAAGAAAAAGAAAAAGAGAGAGGUGCCAUAAGCAAUAAAAAAGCAUAUGAAGCACCAAAAAAGAAAUUUCAGAAGUUUGAGAAAGGAGAACCAUCUUGGAGACCAAAACACGAUGGAAAGGUCUACCAGACAUCUGAGGAAUUUAGAAAGCCAAAAUACCCAAGGUAUGAAGACUUAGGGUUUACGGUUUUCAGCACUCCAAAGGAGGAAAUCUACAGCAAAGAAAAAGGAAGAAUAAGGUUUCCUCAACCAGAAGAAUUAAACCCUGCAACAAAAGAGGCCCGAACAAGGGGGAACAGAUACUGUAAGUUCCACAAGGACUACGGGCACAACACAGAAAAUUGCAGGGAACUAAGCACUUUCCUAGACAUACAGGCAAAGGAAGGAAAGCUUAAACAAUACGUAAACAAAGUAGAAAGGGAGCAACAAGGUCGCAGGGACCCAAAUAACAAGGGUAAGCGACAGCGCUCAAAAAGUCCCGACUCAGGUACUGACCACAAGAGGAGGGUAAUAGAUUAAAUCUUCGGCGGGGGAUCAAUAGAAGAAAGCAGGAAAUACUCGCAAAAGUUAAUAUACGAUCCAGCCCACACCUAAAUACGCAAGGCGGAACAAUUAAUCAUGUUCACCCUUGCGGCAUUCGCAUGGAAGGUAGAGCAGAUUUCAAAGGGUCAAAAACAACUCAGCUAAUACCCCCAAAGGGGGGGCAGAAAGAGGCACUAGUUGACUCAACAUCUAUACCUCCGUACAAUCCGACCAUAACACAGGCAGAAUACUGGAGAAAACCCUCGAUAGAAUACAUUGAAGGGUAGAAACUCCCAGAGAACAAGAAUAAAAGGCGUAAACACGCAUUCCAAGAUACUGCCUAAUCGGUAACAUUCAGCAUAAGAAACCCUACAUCAAGGGGUAUGCAAAAUACAUCAAGGGAGGAGGACUCUAGCCCAAAGAAUAACAGGGUAGAGGCACUUCUGGCCUACACUAAAGAAAGAGGCAAUCUUACCUGCAAGAAAAUGCAAGGCAUGCCAGAUUCACAAAAACAUACGACUAAUAGGGGUAGUAAGCCCCAUCCCCUUCGCAAUAUGGGGGUUAAACAUUGUGGGACCAUUUCCAGUAUCGACAGGCCAGGCCAAAUCAUAUUUAUGGCUGUCGACUACUUCACUAAAUGGGUCGAGGCACUAGCUGUACCCAAGAUAACUCAAGGAGCAGCAGCGAAGUUUGUCUUCAAGUGUAUAAUGUGCAGAUUCAGUAUUCCAAUGCAUAUAGUGACAGAUAACGGUACACAGUUUACCGGUGGGGAGUUUACGAGAUUGUGCGAGAACAUGAGCACUAGAAUCCAUUUUUCAUCGGUAUACAGACCACAGGGUAAUGGGCAGGUAGAAGUCACAAACAGAGCCAUCGUUCAGGGACUGAAGAAAAAAGUCGAACAGGCCAAAGGUUCGUGGACAGAUCUACUACCAGAGAUCCUGUGGGCGUAUAGAACCACUGAAAAGACACCCACCGGAGAAACCCCGUUCUCGCUAGCAUAGUGGAAUGGAAGCACUAAUCCCAACAGAGCUAAGCAUUCCAACAGUCAGAGUGUUAUCCUAUGACAUGGAAUCAUGUGCGAUAACUCUGGACUUAGUGGAUGAGCUUAGGGAUAAUGCACAGGCAAAGAAUGCAGCUUACAAACAAAGUAUCGCUAGAUAUCACGACAAGAAUGUCAAGGGUAAAGCGAUAAGUAAAAAAGCCUAGUAUGGAGAAGAGCAAGUGUCGGCAGAAAAGACUGCUCUAAAGGCAAACUAGGCGCAAAUUGGGAAGGACCAUAUGUGGUGGAGGAAGAACUCCGACCAGUUAAAGUGGGAAGAUAGAACAGGCAUUCCCAAUACUUGGCACGCAGAUAACCUACAGAUAACCUACAGUUGUACUUUUAAACAAUUAAGUAGGAUUAUACUACUCUUGUAAUAGUUUGAACUACUUAACUAAUAUGUUGUUUAGUCAACUAUUAUUAAUAAUCAGAACACUCAAAAAACAUUCCAUAUAUUAAUUGAACAUGAAUUACAGAGGAAUGUAAAUUAUAAGGAUAAGAUAGAGGAUUAAUCUAUUUAGGAGGGGGGGGUGUAUCUUUAGAACCCUCUGCAUCGUUGUUAUCUUGAUCUUCUAUGGAAAAAUUAUUAUCAACGGUAGCAGUCGUAUCAUCCCCCGGAGCCUCCUCUUCUUCAUUCUCUUCAUCCUCUUCUUCCGCAAGCGCCCGAUUUCGAACUUCGGUAGCUUCUUUGGGGUACUUGCAGGCCUAGUUGUGGACAUCCUCAGCUUCGAAACCAGGGCAGACAUGAGGACCCAGAUCGACCAAGUCAUUAUAAUCUCGCACAUUGGCAAGAUAAUCAACCUUGAGUUUUUCCAGAUGGUCGAUCAUACGUUGAAGCUCCUUAGUCAUAUGUCGAGCUUCCUCAGUCAGACGUUGGACCUCCUCAGUCUUUGCCCGGUCCGUUUCUUCCAGCCGCGUUAUUGAUUUCUUAUGAUCAUCCAGCGACCCCAAAAGCUUCUUGUUCUCAUCAUAACUUUCAUCCAGUCGUUGAGAAAAUAUGGAAUUCUGUGUCCGACAGGAUUGAAGGUUCGCCUCAGUAUUUUCGUGCUGGCGGGUGAUGUCGACAAUCAUCGACUCUUUAAUUGAAACCCUGGCACGUUGAGCUGCUAAUUCCAUCUCUGCAGCCCCCAACUCCCCGUUGACCUUGGAGAUUUCCUGCUCCUUAUCUCUCAAGAGAUUCCUUUGAGAAGCCCAAUCCUCAGCCAACUUCUUGUUGGUGGCAGACAAAGUAGAGGUGUCUGAUGCUUUUUGCGCAACCUCGCCUUCCAGAUCUUUGCAUCGGCGCUUCACUCUCUUCAACUCGUCUUCCAUAGACUGAUAGUCACGGAGACGAGACAGGGAAGAGAGGCGGCCUUGAAACAAAUAGGCGAGCUGCAAAAAGAAAGAAUGAGUAAGAACAUACUCAUAAAAAUAGUAAAACAGAAGUACUUACGUUACUCAGAUUCUGUCCUAUUUCUUCGACAGUCCGGUCCAUCGGAUACCCAGAUAUGGUCCGCAGUGUGGUUCGGGCGGCAUCCGAGUCAGCGACCAGAGGGAACUUGGUCCCGUAGUUCCGGGGGUGCGAACCUUGGUACCCCGGCAGCUGUGUCUCCCGGGUGGAAGCAUAGUUAUAUCGACCCCGGGAGGACUCCCCAGAAUAAAAUCUCCGGCGCGGAGAAGCUCGUCGCCUGGGGGAGUGUCUCUUUGAUUUCCUCGGAGGAGAAUUAAGUCGGUCCUAGGAGGUGGAGUUCGUUCUUUUCUUCUUCUUCUCUCAGACCCCUCAGGCUGGGUCUCCCUUCCCAACAGUUCUUUCUCGCUCCUCUUCUGGAGUACGGAAGAGAGAAGCGAGCCUGGAAGCAGCAGACUGCACAGGAGUAGUUUCUGUAGGUACCUCUGGAGGUACCUCCCCUUCCUCAGUUCGUUGGACUUCGUCAGUAGGAGUAGGGGAAUGCGCCAUUGUGUAGGCGUUCUCAAGGGCACGUUGCCUCAAAUGAUCGGCGUCAGAAGGCUUAGAGGCGGCUGCAUAAACCUUAGUGCCCGUUUCAUUUUGCCCAACGCAUUCAGGGACACCUCCGGGGUUAUGCAUAUAAAAAUCUGCGAGGAAUAAAAACAGAGUUAGAAAAUGCAUACAUAUAGAAAACAAAAAGAAAAAACAGGCAAAGGAAGACCUUGUCGGUUAAAAGUAUCAUCAAUCGCGUGACCGACAGGCACAGCGAUAGGAUGCAAAAAGGCCAGCCUUUGCACGGAAGCUCCCUCAUCCUCAGUCAGAUCAGGACGAGGAGUAGGCCUACGACCACUAGUCGAUGCAGGGAGAAGUCUGCUACCACGGAUGAACGUAGGUAGACAAGGAGUCACACUUAACCUCAGUCGCAAAAAGGCGAGCAAAAGGAGGGGGCAAGUAUUCAAACAGCAAUCCUCACCUACGGAUGAACGUAGGUAGACGAGGAGUCAUACUUAGC